AAAGAGAUUGCGAGAAUUAUUGAAUUAGAGAAACUAAAAACGAGACGGGGAACAUUCGGGCUGGAAGAUUACGCUGCUGAGCUACAAGAGGUUUACAGCCUGUUGACCCUUCAACCCACCGAGGUUUCCUUCAACGACUAUGUAAAAUUAAACAAUCCACUGAUUUUGGGGGUGUUUCAGCAAAUCUUUACACUCAUCAUUAUUCUUAUGCAGUUUCCCAAAUAGCGCACUCAUUUACUUUUGCAUACCUUGCUAAUUAGUUGCCCAACAACUGUGGAACAACGGGAUGUGUGUUAUAAUUUACAACUUCUUAAAACCUAUGCAUAUGCAUCGUUAAGUACAAAUCUAUGUAACAAUCGUUAAGACAUUGUUUAAGCCCUGGAUCAAAAUUGUGGUCACUUUUGUAUGACUUUGAAAUUACUUUCUAGGGGUUGGGUUGGAAAUUAGGAGAGUUAUUGACGCACAAAAUAUCCGUUAACCUUUAACAUAACCAAUUAUUUUUAUGAAAAGUUAUUAGCGAUCGAUAUUUAUCCUUACCAAAUUAACUAGAUACAUUCUAAACAUUUCCUUAGAUGAGAUAUAUCUCAUCUAAUAAAGGGAAACGUAUACGUUUGCAGAUUUGUUUUCAAGCUCAGUUUUUAUCACUAAUCAAUUUAUUUUUUCAAUGAAAACUUUUCACCAAUA